UCCGGAGCAGCUUUUCUUUUAAACUUCGAGGAAGCGAAGCAAUUACUCCACAGGUUCGCUGGGGUUGGCGGCCCCAGCAUAACUAUCCCUGAAGUUGCAGCUCGGGAUCGUCCCCCGGGGCGCUCCCAGAGAGUGUAAAGUCUGUGGCGCCUGCGGUCUCCGGGGAACACUGAGAGAGGUAAUGGCAUUGAGCCCCGCAACUGCUGGAGCGCACGCAGAAGAUGAGAGCUAUCAAAAACAGACUUUUCUUUUCAAGUGGUGUUUGAGUUUCAUCUGUAGAUGAAAUCUCGUCGGCUGAGGUAGACUGAUAUUUUGAAGCAGAAUUCACUCCCUAGAAUCACUGAUGUGUGUUUCCAUCUUUUGUUUUAAUCUCCUGGUCUUCCUCCCAGUGUUCAUCUGCCCUUCGCAGCGUCUUAGCUGACCGCGGACAUGGACUGCAGCAGGGUUUGGUAGUACCCCCAACCCCGCCUCACCGCUUCUACACUUUUCGCUGUACGUUUUCUAUUAACAUACACAAAUCUUCAAUUUCACAUAAAAAUUUGUAUUUCUUCCUAAUCUCCAAAAAAGCUAGGCAACACUGAGUCCACAUUAUCAUGAAGGCAUUCGGCUGAAGAGGAGUCCCAGUUAGAGUGGCCAGCACUACACCUAUUCAGUAAUUUGAAUUACCCGCUCAGCACUGGCUCCCUGAGGUGAAGCGAUUAAAGUCAGCAGGACCUAAAUGAGGAUACAGAUCUCCUACUACAAACUAUGCUGUCUGCAAUGAGAGUUGUUCUUGGCUGAAAUACCCUCUAUUACGGCAUCAUGAACAUAAAUUAACUUUGCUUAUCGAAUAAGCAACUAUCUGUAGUCUUUUUUGCCCUUUUAAAUUUUAUUUUACCAUUAUCUUGUUACGCUUUUUAUUAUAAAAAGUUUAAAUAUA